rnacentral:rRNA from 1 species
AUGAUGAUGAUGAUGGACGUCGUGCUGGUGAGAUCCAUGUCGCUAUCCACCGUGGCACAACGGCGGCAUCCUCGCAAGUUCCAUGCCUCCGUCGUCCAUGUUGUCGGCUUGAUGAAGAAGAUGAUGGGCAUCGUCCUAGCGAGCUCUGUGUCGCCAUCCUCCGCGGCACAAGGCAGCAUCCCUGCGAGCUCCAUGCCUCCGGUCUCCAGCUUGAUAAUGUUGGCGAUGGACAUCGUCUUGGCGAGCUCCGGGCCACCAUCCACUGCAGCACGGCGAUGGCAUCCUCGUGAUCUCCACGCCUUUGUCCUCCUUAGCGUCGUCUUGAUGAAGAAAAUGACGGGCAUCAUCAUAGGGAGCAUCGUGUCACCGUGGCAUCGGCUUGAUGAAGAAAAUGACAGGUGUUAUCUUGGCGAGCUCCGUGUCACCAUCCUCCAUGGAACCAUCUUGACGAUUGGCGCUAUCCUGGCGAGUUUCGUGCCUCCAUCCUUUGGCACCGGCUUGAUGAUGUAG